GUGACUUGAAUUGAGAAGCGGCAUGUUUCGCGUGCAAGCUCCAAGUGCGAAUGCGGCCGAGAUCGAAGCGAAGCGCAAGAAGAAAGUCACGGAAAUGAAACAGAACGCCGUCAUGUUUGUAGUCACCGUAGUGGCUCUCAGACUAGCUGCGCUCUUUUAUGCCGGAGAGUGAUGGCAGUGAAUCAGAAUUACCAAACAGACGCAAUAAAUAAAUAAAUAAAUAAAGGACUCAUUGAUAUCAAA